GAGGGCCCCGCACAAGCAGCGGAGCGUGUGGUUUAAUUCGAUGUUACACGAAGAACCUUACCAGGGUUUGACAUGCAAGUGGUAGGAAACCGAAAGGUGACCGACCCUUCGGGGAGCUUGCACAGGUGCUGCAUGGCUGUCGUCAGCUCGUGUCGUGAGAUGUUCGGUUAAGUCCGCUAACGAGCGCAACCCUCGCUGUGUGUUAUAUGUGUCACACGGGACUGCCGGUCUUAAGCCGGAGGAAGGUGGGGAUGAUGUCAAGUCAGCAUGGCCUUUAUAUCCUGGGCUACACACACGCUACAAUGGCCAACACAAUAGGUUGCUAAGCCGCGAGGUGGCGCCAAUCCAUAAAGUUGGUCUCAGUUCAGAUUGUAGGCUGCAACCCGCCUGCAUGAAGAUGGAGUUGCUAGUAACCGCAGGUCAGCUAUACUGCGUUGAAUACGUUCCCGGGGCUU
rnacentral:rRNA from 1 species